GACGAACGCUGGCGGCGUGCUUAACACAUGCAAGUCGAACGGAAAGGCCCUGCUUUUGUGGGGUGCUCGAGUGGCGAACGGGUGAGUAACACGUGAGUAACCUGCCCUUGACUUUGGGAUAACUUCAGGAAACUGGGGCUAAUAUCGGAUAUGAGCUCCUGCUGCACGGUGGGGGUUGGAAAGUUUCGGCGGUUGGGGAUAGACUCGCGGCUUAUCAGCUUGUUGGUGGGGUAGUGGCUUACCAAGGCUUUGACGGGUAGCCGGCCUGAGAGGGUGACCAGCCACAUUGGGACUGAGGUACGGCCCAGACGCCUACGGGAGGCAGCAGUGGGGAGUAUUGCACAAUGGGCGGAAGCCUGAUGCAGCAGCGCCGCGUGCGGGAUGACGGCCUUCGGGUUAUAAACCGCUUUCGCCUGUGACGAAGCGUGAGUGACGGUAAUGAGUAAAGAAGCACCGGCUAACUACGUG
rnacentral:rRNA from 1 species